rnacentral:tRNA from 1 species
GCGUUCAUAGCUCAGCUGGAUAGAGCAACGGCCUUCUAAGCCGUAGGUCAGAGGUUCGAAUCCUCUUGGGCGUACCAC